UACGUAGGGUGCAGGCGUUAAUCGGAAUUACUGGGCGUAAAGAGCGCGCAGGCGGUCGUUCAAGUCGCGUGUGAAAGCCCCCGGCUCAACUGGGGAGGGUCACGCGAUACUGAUCGACUCGAAGGCAGGAGAGGGUAGUGGAAUUCCCGGUGUAGUGGUGAAAUGCGUAGAUAUCGGGAGGAACACCAGUGGCGAAGGCGGCUCACUGGCCCGAUACUGACGCUGAGGCGCGAAAGCGUGGGGAGCAAACAGG
rnacentral:rRNA from 1 species